CAGGGCAGCUUUCCUACUGUUUCCCUGUAAUCCCAGUGAGCCACGUGGGGAGAUGGAACUU
ensembl:miRNA Mir6384 microRNA 6384